UACGUAGGGGGCUAGCGUUGUCCGGAUUUAUUGGGCGUAAAGAGCGUGUAGGCGGCCAGGUAGGUCUGCUGUGAAAACUCGAGGCUCAACCUCGAGACGUCGGCGGAAACCAUCUGGCUAGAGUCCGGAAGAGGAGAGUGGAAUUCCUGGUGUAGCGGUGAAAUGCGUAGAUAUCAGGAGGAAUACCGAUGGCGAAGGCAGCCCCCUGGGUCGAUACUGACGCUCAUGCACGAAAGCGUGGGGAGCAAACAGG
rnacentral:rRNA from 1 species